GACGAACGCUGGCGGCGUGCCUAAUACAUGCAAGUCGAGCGGAAUGAAGAAGAAGCUUGCUUCUUCUGAUUUUAGCGGCGGACGGGUGAGUAACACGUGGGCAACCUACCUUGUAGAUUGGGAUAACUCCGGGAAACCGGGGCUAAUACCGAAUAAUCCAUUUUGCUUCAUGGCGAGAUGUUAAAAGGCGGCUUCGGCUGUCACUACAAGAUGGGCCCGCGGCGCAUUAGCUAGUUGGUAGGGUAAUGGCCUACCAAGGCGACGAUGCGUAGCCGACCUGAGAGGGUGAUCGGCCACACUGGGACUGAGACACGGCCCAGACUCCUACGGGAGGCAGCAGUAGGGAAUCUUCCACAAUGGACGAAAGUCUGAUGGAGCAACGCCGCGUGAGUGAAGAAGGUUUUCGGAUCGUAAAACUCUGUUGUAAGGGAAGAACACGUACGAGAGUAACUGCUCGUACCUUGACGGUACCUUAUUAGAAAGCCACGGCUAACUACGUG
rnacentral:rRNA from 1 species